rnacentral:lncRNA from 1 species
GGUGUAUUUUGGAAUGUCUAAUUAUGGGUGCAAGGGCUCCAAUUGUUGGCACCUAAAAGGUCUCCUAAAGUAAGUUAGAUAACUUAAGUUAAUAGGAAGUCCCAUACAAGUAGGACUUAUAUUAUAUGAUUGAAUAUGAUUCAAUCCUUGUACCUAUUUAAAGGAAUCUCUCCUAAGGUCCCUAGAGUAUCUAAACUAGCAACCCCACACACCAAAAG